UCCCGCCUGCAGCCCCAGGUCCCAGCGCGCACGCGCGCCGCCGCCCGCCCACCGCGGCCAUUGGCUCUGCAUUCUUCCUGCCACGCCUUCCCCGGAGCGGCCUCACGCACGCUCGCUGGGGUCUCCCUUCCUCCCAACAACAACUACUUCGAUACUAUUGGUUAGUUCUGACCCCACCCCUUCAGGUUCCUCCGCGCCGAUAGGUUUGUCUCAGUGUCACUCACUUCCCUAGAGGGUUUAUGGUUCUUCUGGAUGAGCCCGGGCCAACGAUUGGUUGAUGAUGAAAGGUUUGGUUUGAAGCUGUUACUUUGCACCCCGCAGUGCGGACCCCUCAGGGCCGUCUCGCAGGGUGGGUGGGUUCGUGACGCGGUGUCCAGGCCGGGAUUACUAGAACAGUGCCCUGGAGAUAAGGGCUUCUUCGCCUCUGGAAAAAUCUUGGGAUUCUGUGCUUCUGAAUUCAGGAACGGCCUCUGCAUGUGCUCUGAGCACUUCUGGUUCCAUUUCAUUGUGUCCAAGGGAGUAUUUCUGGAAGGAUACAAGGAUCUGUUUACACUGGUCAUCUCCACGGAGACCUGAGAGGGAGGUGGAGAACAGCAGUAAGUCUAAGAGCUCUUUUUACUCUAUGCCCCUUUGGAACGUUUGAAUUUUGAACUACGUGAACAUAUUACCUUUUUUUUAGUGAAAGAAAAACUAAACUUAAAUAACAAACCGAACUGAAAGCUGACUGCACUUGUCACAAUAAAUACCUUUAACUUCUUUUUCUUACGAAAUAAAGGUCCCACAAUAGUCAGUACCUCCGGGAGUAUAACCAGCACCUGAAAUGUCCCUGGUUGAUGAUAAGAAUUCCUGGCACAUGAGAUGGGGGAGCAGCAGCUUCCAUUCCUGAUGUGGCAUGGCCUCAGAUACUGCAGAGCAGGACUUCCCACCGUGCGCUGUGCUUCCCUGCAGCUCCCCAGGUCUCUUUCCCGGUUUCUGCCCUCCUCUCCUUUGCUGGUAAUUAAAGAAGGGGCAGAGAUGCCAAUAGGCCUGCUUCUCUCCUGUUUCCAGUCCCUUUUGUCCACCUUUGGCAGGGGUGUCUCCCUUAGAGAGUCAACCCAGCUCAUUAUAGAGGCUCAGUGAAAACCCAGGGUGACCUUGACUCAAGUCAGAGACACAGUUUUCAAAUACAGGGCUUUACAGAUUUCUGCAGCUCUGCCCCGGCUCUUUGCAGCUUCGCUUGCUGCUCAUACCCUGCGUGACUUACACACAGACUAUCUUAUUUCUGUACACACCCUGCUCCUUCAUGGUGGCAACCUUUCCUUUUCCCAGGGUACAUCGCACACAGGAUUGGAGCUCAUCUGAUACUGAAAAUACCAUCUCCAAGCCCAGUUAUAGAGCUUCUUCCCUUUACCAGUCAUAAACUCAGAAAGAAAUGUUCACUGAAAUCCCUAUAUAAUCUGGCCCUGGCCCCUGUGGCUCAGUUGGUUGGGCGUCACCCCAACCAAAGCAGAAGGCCACUGGUUUGA